GUACGCUAUUCAGAGUUUGAUCCUGGCUCAGGACGAACGCUGGCGGCGUGCUUAACACAUGCAAGUCGAACGGAGUUAAGUUUUCGGAUUUAACUUAGUGGCAACGGGUGAGUAACGCGUGAGGAACCUGCCUUUCAGUGGGGGACAACAGUUGGAAACGACUGCUAAUACCGCAUAAUACUGCGAAGCGGCAUCGCUUUGCAGUCAAAGAUUUAUUGCUGAAAGAUGGCCUCGCGUCUGAUUAGCUAGUUGGUGGGGUAACGGCCCACCAAGGCGACGAUCAGUAGCCGGACUGAGAGGUUGACCGGCCACAUUGGGACUGAGAUACGGCCCAG
rnacentral:rRNA from 1 species